rnacentral:lncRNA from 1 species
UCUUUCCCAUUUACCCAAUUACCCGUUGUUUUCCUUUCACGAGAUUAUGAUGGUUAAUUUGGAAGAUAAAAACCAAUGUCUUUCUUUUUGUAUUUUUCCUCUUAAAUCUUGUAAUUGAAGACUGGUGCUGAUGUUUAUAGUUCUUUUUACAAGGGCUUAACAUGCUUCAUUGUGUUAUCGUAAUGCUUAUAUAUUUGCUCCUGUUGUUCUU